rnacentral:rRNA from 1 species
CCUACGGGAGGCAGCAGUGGGGAAUAUUGCACAAUGGGGGGAACCCUGAUGCAGCGACGCCGCGUGGGUGAAGGAGUUCUUCGGAACGUAAAGCCCUAUCAGCAGGGAAGAACAGUGACGGUACUUGUCAUCGAUGCACCGGCUAAACACGUGCCAGCAGCCGCGGUAAUACGCAUGGCGCAAGCGUUAUUCGGAAUUACUGGGUGUAAAGGGAGGGCAGGCGGCGUGUUAAGCCGAGUGUGAAAGCCCGCGGCCCAACCGCGGGACUGCAUUGGGAACUGGCGCGCUGGAGUGCGGGAGGGGUAGGCGGAAUUCCUGGUGUAGCAGUGAAAUGCGUAGAUAUUAGGAGGAACACCAGUGGCGAAGGCGACCUACUGGACGGUGACUGACGCUGAGGCGCGAAAGCGUGGGGAGCAAACAGGAUUAGAUACCCCAGUAGUC